rnacentral:rRNA from 1 species
GAUGAACGCUGGCGGCGUGCCUAAUACAUGCCAGUCGAGCGAACAGACGAGGAGCUUGCUCCUCUGACGUUAGCGGCGGACGGGUGAGUAACACGUGGAUAACCUACCUAUAAGACUGGGAUAACUUCGGGAAACCGGAGCUAAUACCGGAUAAUAUAUUGAACCGCAUGGUUCAAUAGUGAAAGACGGUUUUGCUGUCACUUAUAGAUGGAUCCGCGCCGCAUUAGCUAGUUGGUAAGGUAACGGCUUACCAAGGCAACGAUGCGUAGCCGACCUGAGAGGGUGAUCGGCCACACUGGAACUGAGACACGGUCCAGACUCCUACGGGAGGCAGCAGUAGGGAAUCUUCCGCAAUGGGCGAAAGCCUGACGGAGCAACGCCGCGUGAGUGAUGAAGGUCUUCGGAUCGUAAAACUCUGUCAUUAGGGAAGAACAAAUGUGUAAGUAACUAUGCACGUCUUGACGGUACCUAAUCAGAAAGCCACGGCUAACUACGUG